rnacentral:rRNA from 1 species
UAACUAAAUGGCUGCAGUAACUAUGACUGUAUCAAUGUAGCAUAAUCAAUCGCCACUUAAUUAGUGGAUAGUAUGAAUGGUUGAACGAAAAUCUCUCUGUCUUAUAUAAUAAAUAAAAAAUUUAAACCAUAGUCAAGAGCUAUGUAAAAUUGUAAGACGAAAAGACCCUAUAAAGCUUAACUAUAAUCUUUUAAAAAUAAAUAAAUAAAAAUACAUAAAAGACGGGUAGUUUCAUUGGGGCGAUGAUCUCUAAAAAUAAACAGAGAUUAACUAAAUUAAUAAUAUAAUUUACUGUAUAAUUAAUUAGUUUAACAGUUACAAAGUAGGUUAUAAAAACCCAUUAUUAAUAAAAAUAAAAAAUAAUGAUAAAAAAUAAAAGCUACUUUAGGGAUAACAGGAUAAUAUUUUCUAAGAGUCCUUAUCGAAGAAAAAGUUUAUCACCUCGAUGUUGAAUUAAGAUAUCCCAGUGAUGUAGC